rnacentral:rRNA from 1 species
GGAGAUGGGGAUAGCCAUUUAGAAAUAGUGGAUAAUACCGAAUACGCUCUACGGACUCUGGUUUGUAGAGGAAACAGGCUACGGCCUGGCUCGAGGAUGGGCCCGCGUCCCAUUAGCUAGUGGUGAGGUAAGAGCCCACCAAGGCGACGAUGGGUAUCCGGCCUGAGAGGGUGUACGGACACAUUGGGACUGAGAUACGGCCCAAACUCCUACGGGAGGCAGCAGCUAAGAACAUUCCGCAAUGGACGAAAGUCUGACGGAGCGACGCCGCGUGGAAUGAACGAAGGCCGAAAGGUUGUAAAAAUCCUUUUGCUGAUGAAGAAUAAGCGUGGUAGGGAAUGACCGCGUGAUGACAUUAGUCGGUGAAUAAGCCCCGGCUAACUACGUGCCAGCCGCCGC